rnacentral:sRNA from 1 species
GCCGGGCAUUGUGGCGAAUGCCUGUCAUCCCAGCAGCUUGGGAGGCUGAGGCAGGGGGAUCGAGAGUUCAAAGCCAGCCUCAGCAAAAAAGCAAGGGGCUAAUCAACUCAGUGACACCCUGUCUCUAAAUAAAAUACAAAGUAGGGCUGGGGAUGUGGCUCAGGGGUCGAGUGCCCCUGAGUUCAAUCCCCUGUAAGGAAAAAAAAAAAAUUGUUGAGGUUGGCUUUGAAUUUGUGAUCCUCCUGCCUCAG